UCAAUUAUACAUAACUCUUCUGGUCCUUCUUCUUCUUCUGGAGUGAUUUGCUUUUUAGACAUAUAGAAAAUAUUUAGAUCCAGUGUCAUAUUACCAAAAGUGAGUUGCAUAAGCCCAUUUCUACAGUUGAUGAUUGCAUUUGAAGUUGCAAGAAAUGGCCUUCCAAGGAUGAUAGGAACUAGAUUAGCUUCCUUUACAGUAGGAUCUGUAUCAAGAACAACAAAAUCUACAGGAUAGUAGAAAUUAUCUACUUGAACUAAUACAUCCUCAAUUACCCCUCUUGGAAUUUUCACUGAUCUAUCUGCCAAAGAUAAAGUGAUUGCUGUUGGCUUCAAC
rnacentral:lncRNA from 1 species